GAUGAACGCUGGCGGCGUGCCUAAUACAUGCAAGUCGAGCGAACGGACGAGAAGUUGGCUUUUCUGAUGUUUGCGGCGGACGGGUGAGUAACACGUGUGUACCCCACCUCUCAUCCUGGGAUAACUGCGGGAAACCGGAUCUAAUACCGGAUAAUAUUGUUAACCGCAUGGUUCAGAAGUGAAAGACGGUCUUGCUGUCACUUAUAGACGGAUCCGCGUUGUAUUAGCUAGUUGGUAAGGCAACGGCUGACCAAGUCGCCGAGGCAUAGCGGAGCUGAGAGGGUGAGCGGCCACGCUAGAACGGAGACACGGACCAGACUCCUACGGGAGGCAGGAGUAGGGCAUCUUGCGGAAUGGGCGAAAGCUGGACGGAGCAACGCCGCGUGAUUGAGGAAGGUCUUCGGAUCGUAAAACUCUGUUAGUAGGGAAGAACAUAUGUGUAAGUACCUGUGCACAUCGUGACGGUACCUAAUCAGAAAGCCACGGCUAACUACGUG
rnacentral:rRNA from 1 species